GAAAAAAAUUGACAGGAAAAAAAUUGAGAUGGAGAGGUGUAGUGUUGGGGGAUGUCUAUAGGUGUUUUUUAGAGAGGAGGGUGGACUUAAUGUUAGUGUAUUUAAGGUGGGGCUAUUGAUUGUUUUUUGAGAAGACACGCUAGCAGAUGAGCUCUGAACGGAGAAGUUGGAGAGCGUCCAAAGUUAGAGAGCGUCAAAAAGUUGUUUCGAGAUGGUUAAAGAUAUAACUGUGUUUGCUGACGUGCACGCAGUAUUUGACGACGACUUUAGCGGAGUUUAUUUAACACAAUCAGACUACGAUCUCGUGGCGGCUGCUACUAGGCUAAAAAAUCCACUGAUACAGACUGGUUUGGAGGCAG